GACCAAAUAAUAGAAGGUUAAAUCCGUAUAACCGUUCAAAACCAAUGAUAAGCAAAACACAGUAACAUAUCAAGGAGGAAGAAAAGAUAUGAGUAAAGCAAGCCAAACAGUGAUUUUUCCUUCUUAGCCAUAGGUUGACGUGAAUUCGAUUCUGUAAUCUCCCCUCCUUUCUUUCUUGCAAGGACACUAAUCCUCUUUGCAUCAGUCAAAUAAAACAAAAAAAAUAAAAAGAUAUGGAGAGAAACAAUAUAAAAGCACAACUUCAAAGUGCACUGUAACUUCUCAUAAAACAUUUGUCAUCAUAAACCACUGGUUCCGUCUACAAUCUAGUGUCAGAACAUAAAAUGCUAAGCCUAUCAAAUUCUCUAACCAAACUACAAACAAUAACAGGACCAGGUAGGGCAAGUAAUUAGUUAGACAAUAGAAAGGACUUACCAAUUCUAACAUUUUUCACUCAUGAAAUUUAAUAUCGUUACUUUCACACAACAUGCAUUCUAAAUAAAUGAUUAAUUAAAUAAAAUGAAAUCAAGCAUAAAAUAUUUCAAAAUUAAAUGCAUAUAAAACGUUUGUAAGAAAGACAAUUGGCCGGUAAGGAAACUUGAUUUGAAAAACCCAUCUAUAAUAAUAGUACAUAAUCUAAUUUUUCAUCAAUAUAAUUAGCCAAUAAAAGCAAAAACUAUAUCCCAAUAUUUUUUAAAAAAUGAAAAAGAAAUAGAUAAUAAAUUAAGAAACAAUCAACUACAAUAAUCUGUCAUCACUUCCUAUAUCAAUGAACAAUAAUAAGGGUUUUAGUUUGGUUUCACUUCUUCACAUGUUGUUGCAGUUGAAUCUAAAAAUUAAUUCAUAUAAAAACUUACGCUAAAAUAAUUCCGAAAGAAAAUAUGAAACUAAACAAAAUUUAAAACAAAAAAAAAAUACCUAAAAAAAAUUUAAAGUUCCACCCUUGGCUUACGACGCCAGUGGCGCCUUCAAUGACGAUGAACGGGCCUUAUUCUUGGAGACUUUGGAGGGAAAUUUGUAUGUUGGAGUUUGGAUUUUGGGGUAGAAAAGAAUUGGGGUUUGAUAGGGUGGUGAGAGAAGUCAUUAUUGGCUUUAAGAAGAAUUGAGGGGAGAUUAAAAGGGUUUUAGGAAAGGUUGAUACGUGGAGGAAAUAAUAAGGGAGAAAAUAAAAGAGUUGAGAAAAGAAUAGAAGAACAAAGAAUGAUAGGGAAGUAAGAAAGAGAAAUUGUGAUAUUCAAUUGAUCAUGUUCCCUACUACAGUGAACGUCUGUUCCUUAAAAACAC
rnacentral:lncRNA from 1 species